GUCGACAGCGGCGAGGCUUGUCCUUCUCCGUCAGUCUAGCAGGGUAACAUCCCAAGUAGGGCAAGAGGUUUUUCAUUCAAGGGUGGAUUAGUCGUAGAGGGCGAAGAUGUCUGACUUAUUUAGCGGGAUCCAAGCAGCUAUGGUUAUCAAUUGAGUAGAGAAUAGUGAGCAGUCACCUGAAGAUUGGAACAGCGACUGUGAUGGAUCCGGUGGUUCAACAGUCGGUCAUGUGCUUGCCCCCACUGCUAAGCACGAUUACAUAUCCAUAGACUUCUGGGCUGCACUGAGUGAUAUCAGCAAGAUAAAGGAUUGGAAUUGGGGAGGAUAUGUACUCAAGAAUCUGUUCCAAGCUGUUAAGAAGUUCAAGGCAGAUGUGUCCAAGAGAAACCCAACCGUCCACAUAGUUGGUUGUCAUCUGU